GCCAUGCCAAUGUCACAGUAUCUUCACUAUUUUCAGCUUUGUGCAUUGUUAGAUUUUGUGAUUCUAGUGUAUAGUAUGGAAUGGAGUUAGACAUUUCAUUCAGGUUCCUGUCGCUAAUUCAAGGAAUGAUACAUACUUGAAUCAUGCAAGUUAAGUUAUCAUUUCUGUAGAGUUCAGACUAGUUAUCUUUAUUGACUAUAUUUCGAAGCUUUAGAUAAUUUCCAUUGUCCAAACUAUUCAUUUUAUGUAAUAACAAUUGUUCUCUGUUUCCUUAGCUGUAUCUAUAUUGUGUAUUGAUCAUUGUCUGUUAGUCAUCAGAUAGCGUGUCCAUUCUGGGGAUACUAAUUAUUUUGGCCUAUAGGUUUUGAGCUUUAAAGCUUAUAUUACCCUCACCGAUAACAAUGCGACCUACGAUCGCAACAAUAUCAUGAUUGUUUAUCAUUGUCACUGACCAAUAAGAGUUCUGGGCUUAUUUUAUGGCAAAUCAAAUUCUUAAACUUUCUGCACCAGUGAUCAAAAUUAUUAAAUCAAAUCAUAUAUACUAGUUCAAAGGUCUACAAGGUCAGAUCAAAGCUCAUAUUAAUUAGUCCAAGUCAGAUCCCAUACAUGAAUACAUGAUUAAUCAUAUGAUCUACAAGGUCUGUAAAUUUUGGCAAACCUAGCAUGAUUUGUCUGUGCAUUCUGCAAUGGUGCAUUAGACAAAUAUGCAUAACUAUAUUGCUUAACAAUCAUCAAUAUUGGCUGGUACAGGUACCUAGUUACAUGCACAUCCAUCAGAUCAUUUAAUUUAAUAGAGUUAUAUCUGUCUGCUGACAACAGUAAUAGGUUCGAAGUUCAUUAUCAUUUUCUAUAGUUAUUAAAAUGUGAUAGAAAUUGUUUGACAUAGAUGCCAUAUUUGGAUGAGCGGUCUCCAUUAGAGAUGGACUAUGCAGAUUCCUUAUCUGGAAUUGUGGAAGCUCUAACUUACACCAUUCUGUGCCUUCCUAUUGAUGCAUCAAAGGUGGAAAAGCAUGCCAUCUUGUUAAUUCUUGCCAUGUGUUUCUAUAAUUUUGAUCAAAUCUUGUACCUUAUUUACUACCAUACUAGAAGUUGAUAAGUAGCACCUCAUCUUAUAUUUUCAAGUAGUUUAUGGUGCCUGGAGCACCCAUCUGCCGUCGAUUUUCAAGUGACUGUGUAUUAUAAUACCAAGGCUACGAGAAGAGCUAAUUGUAUGCUCAGUUCAUUAGGGGUGUUACUACAUAUAGCUUUGUACAUAAUCUUGGAGAGGAUGGCAUUAUUGUUUCUUUGAAUUCUAGCCCUGUUGAUCCUACCUUCUCCAUGAUUUCUAGGAAAAUUUUGCGGGUCGACAAGAUACAAGCCUUGGCUGAUGGACUUACUACUUCAGAGUUCAGCCUGUGCUUCAUCAGGUUCAUCUUGAUCAUCCGGUGGACUCAUGUUUAGAUCAGGUACAUCUGCUUCUUUGGCUGAACUGCUCUACUUUAUUCAGUGAAUUUUACCUGCAGGUUCAUCCUGUGCUUCAUCAGGUUCAUCUUGAUCAUCCGGUGGACUCUAGAUCAGGUACAUCUUCCUCUUUCGCUGAACUGCUCUAUUUGUUCUUUGUCUCUAUUGAUGAACUGAUCAUGUACACUGGGACUAAACUACUAUGUGCAUGAGAUGGAGCUGGAGCUUUGUGUGGAGGGCAGCGCUAGGCUCGGUCGGCGCAGGAGCUUGGGUGCUCUAAAAGUGUGGUCCACGAGGAAUAGGCGAUGGAGGACGAUCUUUACAUUGGCCUGGUUUCCAUGUCACUGGACCACAUCCCCACGGGCUAUCCCAUCGAGUACAAUGAUGGCAUCGAGGAGGCCACGUCCCUGAAGCGGAGCGGCGGUGCCUCAUCCACUGCUUCCUCAAGCAGAAGAACAACUCAUCCACUGCUUCCUCAAGCAGAAGAACAACUCCAUCAGAGUUGUGGACAGCGUUGCCAAAACGGCCACAUCUAACUAGUAAUCUAUGUGACAACACAUGGUCUUUUAGUUCUGUUAUGUAAAGUGAAGAUACCGUUUAGUUGUGUAAACUGUGAGUUCAUUUUAGUUCUGUAAGUUAGUUAGCUACAAUCUAGUUAACUUAUGUAAGCAAUUUUAAUGCAUGAUCAUGUUGCCAUGUUGGAU